rnacentral:rRNA from 1 species
UACGAAGGGGGCUAGCGUUGUUCGGAAUUACUGGGCGUAAAGGGCGCGUAGGCGGUACUUCAAGUCAGGCGUGAAAGCCCCGGGCUCAACCUGGGAACCGCGCUUGAGACUGGAGAACUAGAGUUCGGGAGAGGAUGGUGGAAUUCCCAGUGUAGUGGUCGAAAUUCGUAGAUAUUGGGAAGAACACCGAUGGCGAAGGCAGCCAGUCUGGACCGACGACUGACGCUGAGGCGCGAAAGCGUGGGGAGCAAACGGG